CGGCCACACUGGGACUGAGACACGGCCCAGACUCCUACGGGAGGCAGCAGUGGGGAAUAUUGCACAAUGGGCGAAAGCCUGAUGCAGCAACGCCGCGUGAGGGAUGACGGCCUUCGGGUUGUAAACCUCUUUUAGCAGGGAAGAAGCGAAAGUGACGGUACCUGCAGAAAAAGCGCCGGCUAACUACGUGCCAGCAGCCGCGGUAAUACGUAGGGCGCAAGCGUUAUCCGGAAUUAUUGGGCGUAAAGAGCUCGUAGGCGGUUUGUCGCGUCUGCUGUGAAAUCCCGAGGCUCAACCUCGGGCCUGCAGUGGGUACGGGCAGACUAGAGUGCGGUAGGGGAGAUUGGAAUUCCUGGUGUAGCGGUGGAAUGCGCAGAUAUCAGGAGGAACACCGAUGGCGAAGGCAGAUCUCUGGGCCGUAACUGACGCUGAGGAGCGAAAGGGUGGGGAGCAAACAGGCUUAGAUACCCUGGUAGUCCACCCCGUAAACGUUGGGAACUAGUUGUGGGGUCCAUUCCACGGAUUCCGUGACGCAGCUAACGCAUUAAGUUCCCCGCCUGGGGAGUACGGCCGCAAGGCUAAAACUCAAAGGAAUUGACGGGGACCCGCACAAGCGGCGGAGCAUGCGGAUUAAUUCGAUGCAACGCGAAGAACCUUACCAAGGCUUGACAUAUACGAGAACGGGCCAGAAAUGGUCAAC
rnacentral:rRNA from 1 species